rnacentral:lncRNA from 1 species
CUCCUGUGUCCCUGAGUUGGCUCUGUCCUUAAAUUUUGCAGCAGGAGAAUUAUUGAGCUGUUCUUGGGAUGAUUUUUAGCCUAUGUAUGUCUACACUUAGGAGGCUGACAUCUUAUAAAUGCAUAUGGUUUUGUUCAAAUGAAUACGUAGUUGACAAAUACUUGGCUAGAAGUUAUAAUGACAAAUUUAAUAGCCCUACUAUAGCCUGAACUGUCAUCUUUAUUUGGGUUAAGCUUGCUAAAUGUCAACUGGAAUUUUGUACUAUAAUAACCUGCAACUUGGUUCCAAAAUCAGCCAUGUUUUUGACAAAUAUGCUUUCCUGGCUGAAAACCAUGAAUGACCCAGAAUAGUUCAUAUCUUUGGAAGAUCCUUAUUUUCCUUGUAAAUGAAAGUCAUGCAUUUGGAAUAAUAACAUGAAAUGAUG